AGUGAACGCUGGCGGUAGGCCUAACACAUGCAAGUCGAACGGCAGCACAUUAAUAUCUUGCUCUUACGGGUUGCGAUUGGCGUACGUGUGAGUAAUACAUCGGAAUCUACUUUUUCUUGGGUUUUAUCGUAGGGAAACUUACGCUAAUACCGCAUACGACCUACGUUUUUAAUCAGUGUAUCUUCUUACCUUUCUCGAUUUCAUGAGCCGAUGUCGGAUUAGCUAGUUGGCUGGGUAAAGUCCCACCAAGGCGACGAUCCGUAGCUGGUCUGAGAGGAUGAUCAGCCAAACGGGAAGUGAGACACGGAACAGAAGACGACGGGAGGAAGCAGUGGGGAAUAGUGGACAAGGGGCGAAAGCAUGAUAAAGAAAUACCGAGUGGGUGAAGAAGGAGUUAGGGUUGUAAAGACAUUUUGUUGGGAAAGAAAAGAAGCAGGUUAAAACAAAGAUGGUGUGACGGUACCAAAAGAAUAAGCAACGGCUAACUUCGUG
rnacentral:rRNA from 1 species